UACGUAGGUGGCAAGCGUUGUCCGGAUUUAUUGGGUUUAAAGGGUGCGUAGGCGGCUUUGUAAGUCAGUGGUGAAAUAUGGCAGCUCAACUGUCAAGGUGCCAUUGAUACUGCGGAGCUUGAGUACAGAUGAGGUAGGCGGAAUUGACGGUGUAGCGGUGAAAGGCUUAGAUAUCGUCAAGAACACCAGAGGCGAAGGCGGUUACCUGGACAGUUACUGACGCUCAGGCACGAAAGCAUGGGGAGCAAAAGGG
rnacentral:rRNA from 1 species